rnacentral:rRNA from 1 species
AUUGAACGCUGGCGGCAUGCCUUACACAUGCAAGUCGAACGGCAGCACGGGUGCUUGCACCUGGUGGCGAGUGGCGAACGGGUGAGUAAUACAUCGGAACAUGUCCUGUAGUGGGGAAUAGCCCGGCGAAAGCCGGAUUAAUACCGCAUACGAUCUACGGAUGAAAGCGGGGGACCUUCGGGCCUCGCGCUAUAGGGUUGGCCGAUGGCUGAUUAGCUAGUUGGUGGGGUAAAGGCCUACCAAGGCGACGAUCAGUAGCUGGUCUGAGAGGACGACCAGCCACACUGGGACUGAGACACGGCCCAGACUCCUACGGGAGGCAGCAGUGGGGAAUUUUGGACAAUGGGCGAAAGCCUGAUCCAGCAAUGCCGCGUGUGUGAAGAAGGCCUUCGGGUUGUAAAGCACUUUUGUCCGGAAAGAAAUCCUUGGCUCUAAUACAGUCGGGGGAUGACGGUACCGGAAGAAUAAGCACCGGCUAACUACGUGCCAGCAGCCGCGGUAAUACGUAGGGUGCGAGCGUUAAUCGGAAUUACUGGGCGUAAAGCGUGCGCAGGCGGUUUGCUAAGACCGAUGUGAAAUCCCCGGGCUCAACCUGGGAACUGCAUUGGUGACUGGCAGGCUAGAGUAUGGCAGAGGGGGGUAGAAUUCCACGUGUAGCAGUGAAAUGCGUAGAGAUGUGGAGGAAUACCGAUGGCGAAGGCAGCCCCCUGGGCCAAUACUGACGCUCAUGCACGAAAGCAUGGGGAGCAGACAGGAUUAGAUACCCUGGUAGUCCACGCCCUAAACGAUGUCAACUAGUUGUUGGGGAUUCAUUUCCUUAGUAACGUAGCUAACGCGUGAAGUUGACCGCCUGGGGAGUACGGUCGCAAGAUUAAAACUCAAAGGAAUUGACGGGGACCCGCACAAGCGGUGGAUGAUGUGGAUUAAUUCGAUGCAACGCGAAAAACCUUACCUACCCUUGACAUGGUCGGAAUCCCGCUGAGAGGUGGGAGUGCUCGAAAGAGAACCGGCGCACAGGUGCUGCAUGGCUGUCGUCAGCUCGUGUCGUGAGAUGUUGGGUUAAGUCCCGCAACGAGCGCAACCCUUGUCCUUAGUUGCUACGCAAGAGCACUCUAAGGAGACUGCCGGUGACAAACCGGAGGAAGGUGGGGAUGACGUCAAGUCCUCAUGGCCCUUAUGGGUAGGGCUUCACACGUCAUACAAUGGUCGGAACAGAGGGUUGCCAACCCGCGAGGGGGAGCUAAUCCCAGAAAACCGAUCGUAGUCCGGAUUGCACUCUGCAACUCGAGUGCAUGAAGCUGGAAUCGCUAGUAAUCGCGGAUCAGCAUGCCGCGGUGAAUACGUUCCCGGGUCU